UAAAAUUUGGAUGAAGCCACAAAAGAUCCAUAAUGGCCAAAGGAAUCCCCCUUCCCAAAAAUAGAACAAAGCUGGAUACAUCACACUUUCUGAUUUCAAACUGUAUUAUAAAGCCUAUAGUAAUCAAAACAGUACCUUAGCAGAAUAAAAACAGACACUUAGGCCAAUGGAACAAAAUCUAGAUCUUAGAAACAAACCCUCACAUAUAUGGUCAACUAAUGUUGGAAAGCAAGCAAGAAUACUCAAAGGAGAAGAGAUAGUUCUACAAUACUACUGGAAAAACUGGAUAAUUACAUGUAGAAGAAUGAAAUAGGACCCCUAUCUUACACUAAUCAUAAAAAUAAAUUCAAAA